rnacentral:rRNA from 1 species
CUGAACCAGCCAAGUAGCGUGAAGGAUGACUGCCCUAUGGGUCGUAAACUUCUUUUAUACGGGAAUAAAGUGAGCCACGUGUGGCUUUUUGUAUGUACCGUAUGAAUAAGGAUCGGCUAACUCCGUGCCAGCAGCCGCGGUAAUACGGAGGAUCCGAGCGUUAUCCGGAUUUAUUGGGUUUAAAGGGAGCGUAGGCGGGUUGUUAAGUCAGUUGUGAAAGUUUGCGG